CAGCCGCCGCGGUAAUACGUAGGUCCCGAGCGUUGUCCGGAUUUAUUGGGCGUAAAGCGAGCGCAGGCGGUUAGAAAAGUCUGAAGUGAAAGGCGGUGGCUCAACCAUUGUAGGCUUUGGAAACUGUUUAACUUGAGUGCAGAAGGGGAGAGUGGAAUUCCAUGUGUAGCGGUGAAAUGCGUAGAUAUAUGGAGGAACACCGGUGGCGAAAGCGGCUCUCUGGUCCGUAACUGACACUGAGGCGCGAAAGCGUGGGGAGCAAACAGGAUUAGAGACCCCAGUAGUCCCUGUCUCUUAUACA
rnacentral:rRNA from 1 species